rnacentral:rRNA from 1 species
GACGAACGCUGGCGGCGUGCUUAACACAUGCAAGUCGAACGGAAAGGCCCGGCUUUUGUGGGGUGCUCGAGUGGCGAACGGGUGAGUAACACGUGAGUAACCUGCCCUUGACUGUGGGAUAACUUCAGGAAACUGGGGCUAAUACCGGAUAGGAGCUCCUGCUGCAUGGUGGGGGUUGGUAAGUUUCGGCGGUUGGGGAUGGACUCGCGUCUUAUCAGCUUGUUGGUGGGGUAGUGGCUUACCAAGGCUUGGACGGGUAGCAGGCCUGAGAGGGUGACCGGCCACAUUGGGACUGAGAUACGGCACAGACUACUAUGCGAGGCAGCAGAGGGGAAUAUUGCACAAUGGGAGGAAGCCUGAUGCAGCAACGCAGCGUGCGGGAUGACGGCAUUCGGGUUGUAAACCGCUUUCGCCUGUGACGAAGCGUGAGUGACGGUAAUGGGUAAAGAAGCACCGGCUAACUACGUG